UACAGAGGGGGCAAGCGUUGUUCGGAAUUACUGGGCGUCAAGGGCGCGUAGGCGGCCUGCUAAGUCGAACGUGAAAUCCCUGGGCUCAACCCAGGAACUGCGUCCGAUACUGGUUGGCUUGAAUCCGGGAGAGGGACGUGGAAUUCCAGGUGUAGCGGUGAAAUGCGUAGAUAUCGUAAGGAAGACCAGUGGCGAAGGCGGGUCUCUGGACAGUUCCUGACGCUGAGGCACGAAGGCCAGGGGAGCAAACGGG
rnacentral:rRNA from 1 species